CCUGCCCCAUGCUCCAGAAUAGCUCUUGGAAACGGGUGGUAAUGCUGGAUGCUCCAACUUGACGCAUGUCUUGUUGGGAAAGUGUUUAGUGGCAUGGGAUGGGGUCGCGUCCUAUCAGCUUGUAGGCGGGGUAAUGGCCCACCUAGGCUUCGACGGGUAGCCGGCCUGAGAGGGCGGACGGCCACAUUGGGACUGAGAUACGGCCCAGACUCCUACGGGAGGCAGCAG
rnacentral:rRNA from 1 species